GAAAACCAACAGUCCCGCCAAAAUUGUCUCCAAAAGAGAAGGAUGGGGCUAGAAAACCAACAGUCCCGCCAAAAUUGUCUCCAAAAGAGAAGGAUGGGGCUAGAAAACCAACAGUCCCGCCAAAAUUGUCUCCAAAAGAGAAGGAUGGAGCUAAGAAAACAACUGUGCUACCAAAAUUG